GUCCUCGCCUCAGCAACACAUGUACUCAACUCAGAACAAUGCAGAGAAGAUGAUCAUGGCCCCUGCGCAAGGAUGGCACGCAAACGGGUGAAGUGCUCCACAGCUUA